GAUGAACGCUGGCGGCGUGCCUAAUACAUGCAAGUCGAGCGAACAGACGAGGAGCUUGCUCCUCUGACGUUAGCGGCGGACGGGUGAGUAACACGUGGAUAACCUACCUAUAAGACUGGGAUAACUUCGGGAAACCGGAGCUAAUACCGGAUAAUAUAUUGAACCGCAUGGUUCAAUAGUGAAAGACGGUUUUGCUGUCACUUAUAGAUGGAUCCGCGCCGCAUUAGCUAGUUGGUAAGGUAACGGCUUACCAAGGCAACGAUGCGUAGCCGACCUGAGAGGGUGAUCGGCCACACUGGAACGGAGACACGGUCCAGACUCCUACGGGAGGCAGCAGUAGGGAAUCUGCCGCAAUGGGCGAAAGCCUGACGGAGCAACGCCGCGUGAGUGAUGAAGGUCUUCGGAUCGUAAAACUCUGUUAUUAGGGAAGAACAAAUGUGUAAGUAACUAUGCACGUCUUGACGGUACCUAAUCAGAAAGCCACGGCUAACUACGUG
rnacentral:rRNA from 1 species